rnacentral:rRNA from 1 species
GGCCAGACUCCUACGGGAGGCAGCAGUGAGGAAUAUUGGUCAAUGGGCGGAAGCCUGAACCAGCCAAGUCGCGUGAGGGAAGAAGGCCCUGCGGGUCGCAGACCUCUUUGGACGGGGAGCAAGGCCGCCGACGUGUCGGCGGAAGGAGAGUACCCGUAGAACAAGCAUCGGCUAACUCCGUGCCAGCAGCCGCGGUAAUACGGAGGAUGCGAGCGUUAUCCGGAUUUAUUGGGUUUAAAGGGUGCGCAGGCGGCCUGUUAAGUCGGGGGAAAAAGCCCGGGGCUCAACCCGGGCGAGCCGUUGAAACUGGCGGGCUGGAGUUGGAGAGAAGUAUGCGGAAUGCGCGGUGUAGCGGUGAAAUGCAUAGAUAUCGCGCAGAACUCCGAUUGCGAAGGCAGCAUGCCGGCUCCACACUGACGCUGAGGCACGAAAGCGUGGGUAUCGAACAGGAUUAGAUACCCUCGUAG